rnacentral:lncRNA from 1 species
AGAAGACUUCAAACAGCUAUCUCUCUAACUCAAACAUGGUUGAAAGAUAAUGGCAUUGUCUGCUCAAGAGAGGACAAAACCAGGAAGUUUGUAUUAUUAAAUUGCAUGUAUUAUAGUGAGCUUAUACACAAGUUCUGCAAUUCCACAGAUUCCAUCGUAAUAAUGUCGACUCAACUAACUGGCUACAAUGUCAGAAUAAAAAAAUUUGUGACAAAUCCCACUUUGCUUGACUUUCUUAAAAACGCUGUCAUUAAAGUCCCUUUAUAUGUAUGCUUAAGAGCCUUUAUUAAAACACACAAAUCUCCUAUUAAAGCACAUGCAAUUAUUCAAUGUUUCAAGCCCC